UGAGGAAUAUUGGUCAAUGGGCGGAAGCCUGAACCAGCCAAGUAGCGUGCAGGAAGACGGCCCUAUGGGUUGUAAACUGCUUUUAUACGAGAAUAAUUUGAUGCACGUGUGCGUUAUUGCAUGUAUCGUAUGAAUAAGGACCGGCUAAUUCCGUGCCAGCAGCCGCGGUAAUACGGAAGGUCCAGGCGUUAUCCGGAUUUAUUGGGUUUAAAGGGAGUGUAGGCGGUUUGUUAAGCGUGUUGUGAAAUUUAGGUGCUCAACAUUUAACUUGCAGCGCGAACUGUCAGACUUGAGUACACGCAACGUAUGCGGAAUUCAUGGUGUAGCGGUGAAAUGCUUAGAUAUCAUGAAGAACUCCGAUUGCGAAGGCAGCAUACGGGAGUGUAACUGACGCUUAAGCUCGAAGGUGCGGGUAUCGAACAGGAUUAGAUACCCUGGUAGUCCGCACAGUAAACGAUGGAUGCCCGCUGUUAGCGCCUGGCGUUAGCGGCUAAGCGAAAGCAUUAAGCAUCCCACCUGGGGAGUACGCCGGCCGGU
rnacentral:rRNA from 1 species